rnacentral:lncRNA from 1 species
GGCUCUGGCUGCUGCCUCAUGCCUGCAGGGUGUUCUGAGUGUUUUCAUCUUGAUUUCAGAGCUUCAUGCUUGGGCUUAAAUGGGACAUUACCCCAGAAGAACUUCUUCCACCAUGACCACCACCACUUCUGAACUGAGUCUGUCUUUGGCUGUGAAUUUGCUUUGGGGACUUCUCUAGAAGUUAAAUUUGUUUGUGUGGAGGUUGAAACUAGUCAUUUGACCACAUGUGUGAUAUGAGUCACAUUAGAAUAAAGCUCUAGGAGGGUGGUAAAUUGUUCUGCCUAAAUUGCAUCAAUGAUGGCAGUGGAUAUUAUCACUUACAGCUUACAAACAAUAUCUUUCCCAGUCCUCUCAGUUCAGUCUGGGUUUGACUUUUUUUUA